AGAAAACCUGGUAUUAAUUCAUGGGUAUGAAUAGAGCCCUGCAGAAAUGAAACAGAGCUACACCCACAUGCAGCCAUUUACAUUUUUUGUUUCCGGAGAAGCUGAUCCCUUAUCAAAUCAAACCUGAACAUAACAGAACAUGAAAUAAAACUUAAAAGUGAGCUAAGAAAUGUAUCUGGACACACACAUAUCUGCAAGCGAUUUUGGAAAGCAUGGAAAAGAGUCUGGCACUGCGAGGAUCUAUGGUGCAAACCUGCUACUGAGAUUCAACCAUAGUCUUUGGCUCGGCUGGGUGACACACGGGGGACAGGUGUGUAGUUAUAUAUAUAUAUAAUGUGCCGCCUCCAACCCUGCUACCACACCCACACCUCACUGUCUCCAGCGCGCUAGAGAGGAAGGAGAGAUGGGACCCGCCUCGCAUCCCGGGCAGCGCCAGCCCAGCCAUUCGCUCCUGCUCCAACUCUUGCCCUCUGCCGUCUGUAACGGGAGGGCAAGAAUAUCUGGCAGCUCUCUUGAUCUUUCGAAAUAAUCACGUUGAGCCUGCCAGUGGGUAUCUCCUCCCUCCUAGCUAAACAAAUACACCGGCAGGAUUCUAAACAGCGGUGGAGAAUUUGUAACAAAAUGUGUCAUUCGCCACCAUCAAGCCCCCUUUAUUGCAUUUCCCCUACUUUUGUUAUAUAACAGAACCUCUGACACGCGUUUAUUUGCUUACAACAGUAUCAGGAACCGGUAGCAGACAGUUAAGCCUUCAGGGCUUGCCAUGCAGUUAUUAAACAGUUCAGUUUGUUAAUAUUUCAAGCUUGACCCUGCCAGGAGGAUAUGCAUAGACACCCUGACCCUAUUCUGGCUUCUUAAAGUACUUUUGUAAUCAGCUGUUAACUAUACAAAUAACUUUGCUGCUAAGGAUUAUCAGAUAAUCGUAUUUUAUUAACUGAGAGGCAGCCUGUAAAUAUUUAGUUUUAUUAUCUUGCAGGGUAUCAAAUAUUACUCCAAAUUUCCUCCUCGCAGAUUUCUCCCCUUUAGACCUUUGAAAAGUUGUGCAAGUUGAAUUUUAUUAUUUAUAUUUUGAGAGGUGGUAAACAUUUCGCUUUGUUUGACUGGGGUAAUUGUGUAAAUCUUAUUAGCAAUAUGCAUAUUUACUGUAGUGCUAUCCAACGUUAAAUAGGUUUUAAAUUAUAUAAUUACUACUCUGUAUUCCUAAAUGGAUAUUUAGAGCAGGUUGGAAAUUGCUGUAGUUUACAAGACUUCUUACGGCGCCUAUGACGUUUCAUUUCCGGUUGGUUUGUUUUGUUUUGGGUUUUUUCAAAUCAUCAUCGCUCCAUAUUCUGAUGCUUUUGUUUUGAGGAUCCAAAUCAAGGUUUUAAAACGUCACCUAGGCCUGUUGGUGGGAAGAAUCGCCAGAAGUAGACAGUAACCUCUUUUCAAAUCUACCCCCCCCCCCCAAAUCCAGCCCCCUACCCCUAACACACACACACACACGGUUCUACUCCUGUGUGAAGAGUUUAAAUCACUCGGCGUGUUCUCUUCUCCACCUGAGACAUUUGCCAAGAGCCAGAGAGUGCGAGGCAGCUUCCUCCCAUUUGAGUUGCUGUUUCUAAUCUCUCCCCUCCAUCGGUCCAUCUUUCAUUGACUCUGUGUGUGUGUUGCCCUAGAAAAAGCCGUGGUCUGCAGGUUAGCUAUACAUUCGUGUCGAUCUGUUUUAUAAUCUUUGUUUAAUGUUGCAUUUCUAAGCUCUGUAUUAAGCAGCUGUAUCAGCGGUUAGAUAUUUAGUUGUAUAUAAUUUACACCCUGAUCCUGAAUCGAUCCGACACCUCCGGAUGGAGUCUCUCUCAUUUUUCACGCUCCUUUCGAGGUGCUGAAAUAAUAUCCUCUCAUUAGAAGGCUGCGAAGCUUGGCUAAUUUAUCCAAACUGUCAGUGGCUUGUACAACCUCGGGUUAAAAAUAAAUCAGCAAAGAAACAACACCCCCCCCUUCCCCUCACCCCAACGGAACCGAUUUAUCAACAAAAUUAAACUAGCCUCCAUCUAACCGAUUUACUAGCACACAGUAAAGCAUUCAAAAC